UUAAAAUUUGUGCAUGUGUGCCGUGUGUGUGUGCUGAUGUGUUAUGUGUGUGAGGGUUUCUUUAAAACAAAGAAAAGAGAAAGAAUAAAAGAAAGAAAACCCAUCUUGUUCCAACGUGUGAGAGAGAGAGAGAGAGAGAGAGAGAGAGAGAGAGAGAGAGAGAGAGAGAGAGAGAGAGAGAGAGAGAGAGAGAGAGAUCAGCCGGUGGAGAAGAAGAAGAAAGAAGGAAAGAAAGGAGGAAAUAGGUGACGAGUCGGUGAAUCAAAGAGCACCGAAACCAUAGUUGUACUUUCUUUUGGAGUACGAGUUUUGCAGGCGUUGUAGAUAUCCACUGCUGAUCGUCGUGGGGUUGUACACUCGCUUAGGGUAGCAUGUUGGGAAGGCUGGACUAGUUUUGGCAAAAUUUUGUAAAUAGGGAUGUAGUUGCAGCCUAUGUUCAUAUUUGGUUUAUUGUAUAGUUUAAUGCUUUCUUAAGACUUCCGCUGUGUUUGUAAGAACGUUAAGUUUUGCGUUAUCAAUAAAAUGGUUGUUGGUUAAUUUAGUUGCUAAAA